CAGACUUCAUAUAAAUCCAUAAUGAACUUUUUCACACUAACAGUUGUUACCCAGAUGAGGAUGGGUUCCUUCUGAGUCGGGUUCCUCUCAAGGUUUCUUCCUCUUAAAACAUGUGGAAUGGCAUAUAAAUUGCCUAUAAAUGUGGGCCAUAUUUCUAUCACUGAAAUUCUUAGUCCUCAAUUGAGAGGUCACCAUGUGUUUACAGACAGCACAGUGGUGGUCUCAUAUAUUGACCACCAGGGAGGAUAAUGCGUUAUCACCAGGAAAACGAUUAUUGCGUUAUCCAUCCAUUAUGUUAUCCAUCCAUCUUCUAUACCGCUUAUCCUUUUCAGGGUCACGGGGAAACCUGGAGCCUAUCCCAGGAAGCUUGGGGCACAAUUCGGGGUACACCCUGGACAGGGUGCCAAUCCAUUGCAGGGCACACUCACACACCCAUUCAUACACUUGCCAAUCAGCCUACCAUGCAUGUCUUUGUACGGGGGGGUGGGAUCGGAGUACCCAGAGGAAACCCCCGCAGCAUGGAGAGAACAUGUAAACUCCGCACGCACAGGGCCACAACGGGAAUCGAACCCCCAACCCUGGAGGUGUGAGGCGAACGUGCUAACCACUAACCAUCCACAGUCACAUGGAAAAAGUGUGUGGUGUCAUCAUGCCAAGAUCUUAAGAGCUCUAUAAGGCCUUCAGAAAAGAGGUUGUGGAUGUCUGAGUCUGGGAAGGGACUUAAAAAGAUCAAAUUAUUUGAAGUACAUCAUUCCACUGUAAGGAAAAUCAUCUACAAGUGGCACACAUUUAAACGACUGCCAAUUUGUCCAGGACUGGCCGUCCCAGCAAAUUCAGCCCAAGCAGACCAUCUGAUGCAAAAAGAAGUCUCCAAGAACCCCAAAAUUAUUUCAUAGUAUUUGCUAGUAAGUCUUGCAACUGUUGGUUUCAAAAUGCAUGCUUCUUCAAUCAGAAAGAGAUUGCACAAAUUUGACUUGCAUGGGAAGUGUGCCAUAAAGCCUUAGCUGUCUAAAAAGAAUAUUCGAGCAAGACUACAGUUUGACAGUGAGCAUAUAGGCAAAGAUUAGGCCUUUUGGAAUAAUGUGCUCUGGACAGACGAAUCAAACAUAAAGUUGUUUGGCCACUGUAACAGCAGACAUGUUUAGUGCAGACCAAAGACAGCUUUCAGGAGAAGCACCUCAUACUAACUGUGAAGCAUAGUGGUAUGGAAAUGUUAUGGUUUUGGGUUGCUUUGCCAGGGACUGGACAGCUUGCAUUCAUUGAUUCAACUAUGAAUUUUGCAUCAUAGCAAUAGUAUUUGAAGAUAAUGUGAGGUCACCUGUCCAAAAUUUUAAGUUGAACAGAAAUUAGACCUCUCAUCAGGAUAAUGAUACUAAGUGCACUAGCAAAUCCACCAAGGAAUGUUUCAAAAAAAGAAGAAAUGGAGGGUUAUAGAAUGGCCUAGUCAAAGCCCGGAUUUGAAUCCCAUUGAAAUGUUAUUGGGGAUUUGAAACUAGCAGUACAUGCAAGAAAACCCUCAAACAUCUUGCAAGUGAAAGAAUAUUGCAGUUAAACGUGGUCAAAAAUUCCAGUCAGAGACUGGCGGACAAUUAUGCAAAACAGCUACAAGAAGUUAUUUCUGCUCAAGGGGAGCAAUACUAGCUUCUGAGGCCAAG
ensembl:lncRNA